CUUCCCUCAGAUACAAACCUUUCCAGUGGAUCCCCCAUUCCAAUGACUGAGGAUUCCCUAGGGAGAAGUCAGCUUGCAGCUGCUGUCUGCCCAUCUUGGUUAAGCGAGACAUCCAGACUCCUCAAGGGACCAAAAAUGGAAUCCUUGAGCUUCACCCAGCCACAGCAAUCACUCAUCCCACCACUCUAAUGGGUAGUAGCCGCCUCCACUCGAAAGCUAGUCCUUUGAAGGAGACUAUUCGAAGCAAGUAUUGUGUGGAACACUUCGAGUUUUUGCUAACUAUUAAAUCUGAAUCUUCGUUGA
rnacentral:sRNA from 1 species